CGGCGCGGGUGGGCGGGGUGGAGGAAGGGAGCUGCGUGGGCCCCGCGUUUCCCCGCCCUCUGCGGCUUGACGCGCCGUCGUGCCGGCGCGCGGGGGCCGGGCUGCGGCCUCGCGCCGCGGGCGGCUGCGGUGUAGCGGCAAGGAGUCCCGCCGGGUCGGGCCUCGCCUCGGGCGGCGGCGGCAGCUCUGCUCCUCUGCGGGUGGCCGGGAGCGCUACGGGAGCCUCUCGGUGCUCUCGCCCCGGCGCCGCAGGAACCGGCCGCGGUUCUAAGUAACCCCCUCAAAACGAGGGCGCUUGGCCCUUCAGACGGCUUCCUAGUAGUGACUGUGGGCCUGCUUUAAAAGACAGAGCUUUUCCCUUCAGAUGUAGAAUCUCCUGUCUCAUAGUAAACCCCUUUUCUUUUUUUUGAAGUCUGGCUUUGAUAUUAGGUAAUCUCAGAUAACAGACUUGACAUAGUGCCCUCAAUAUUCAAAUUCUUUGUAUACCUUUAAUUAGCUUUCACAGCCUACAGCAGUGGCAGUUGUGUGAACUAAAAAAAAAAAAUCUUUUUGAUAUUUUUAUUGUUUCUCAGGAGGGGGGAAGAUGAGAGAAAUUUUAAACUGCAUCUCUAUUGGAAACAUUGUUAAUAGACUAAAGCUGUUCUAGUGGAAACAGCAUCUAGAUUCUGUUCUGGUUGUUCUUUUCAACAGAAAGAGGAAGAAUGGUCCACAGUUUGAUAUCUUGUUUUAUUUCUCUUUCAUCAGCAUUUGUCAUCUUGAGUCUUAAAUAGAGCUGUCGCAGUGAGUACUUGUGGAAUUUUGCUGUCACAUGGACAGGAUUCCACUUGCAUUCAGCAGCUGCUACAAUUUUACUGCCUCUUGCUGGAGGUCACCAAACCCAGAGAAGAGCUGGCAUCUCCCCAUCUACUUCACAGCAAAGUAUGACAUCUUAGUUCAACCUCCCCCCACCCCAAUAUUUUAAACUAAGAGACUGAAUUCGCAUUGAAGCAGCUGACAAAUGAGCACAUCCUGUUCUGCUGAGCCAGCUAUAGCAGUGCUUACUUCUGGCAGAAGAGUAAUACAUGUAGCUGGAGUCAAGUGUCUUACACUCAUAGUAAGGUUUUCUGUAUUUGUUAAAACUUGAACUGUGAUUUUGCUAUGAAAAAAAUUAAAACAUCAUAAAUUCUCGUUUAUAAUAUA